rnacentral:rRNA from 1 species
UACAGAGGGUGCAAGCGUUGUUCGGAAUUAUUGGGCGUAAAGCGCGCGUAGGCGGCUUUGCAAGUCGGGUGUGAAAUCCCCAGGCUCAACCUGGGAACUGCAUUCGAGACUGCAUUGCUAGAGUAUGGGAGAGGGAAGUGGAAUUUCCGGUGUAGCGGUGAAAUGCGUAGAUAUCGGAAGGAACAUCAGUGGCGAAAGCGACUUCCUGGACCAAUACUGACGCUCAUGUGCGAAAGCGUGGGGAGCAAACAGG